rnacentral:rRNA from 1 species
ACACGUAGGGGGCGAGCGUUGUCCGGAAUUACUGGGCGUAAAGGGUGCGUAGGCGGUCUGUUAAGUCAGAUGUGAAAGACCUGGGCUCAACCCGGGAUGUGCAUCUGAGACUGGCGGACUUGAGUGCAGGAGAGGGAAGUGGAAUUUCUAGUGUAGCGGUGGAAUGCGUAGAUAUUAGGAAGAACACCAGUGGCGAAGGCGGCUUCCUGGGCUGUAACUGACGCUGAGGCACGAAAGCGUGGGGAGCGAACAGGAUUAGAUACCCUGGUAGUCCACGCCGUAAACGAUGGAUACUAGGUGUAGGUAUCGUAGGAUAUCUGUGCCGGAGUUAACGCAAUAAGUAUCCCGCCUGGGGAGUACGGCCGCAAGGUUGAA